CCAUUUGCAAUCCUUUCCAAGAACAUGAAGCAGGCUCUCAGAGAGACUCAACUCUUCUUAUCUGGCUUUGGAAACAAUCACGGGCUCAGGCUACCUGUGCAUUUUAGCUCCAAAAGGGCCACCCUUCCCUUUAUUCACUAGAGGUGGCAUAUUCAUGAAAGGAAUUGCAUCCCUUGGAAGUGACUGGAGACUACAUUCCUGAAGACUCUGCUGACAGAACAAUGAGGUGAGGGCAGAUGGAGAAGUCAACAUGGAGACAGAAUAACCUCUUAGACACUUUUCAGUGACCAAGUAUUUCUAGAGUCCUAGUUCAAGCCUUGCUCAUCCUCUUUGAUGAUUCAACCUCCCUCCUCGUGCUGGAAAACUGAAAUUUGAUGUUUAACCUGGCCUUAGUAACCACAGUAGAUAUGCUGAGUAUUUCUUUUCUUUCUGGCCUUUAGACAAUUUGGGAGGAUACACUGUUGACAUCUUAUCUUUCUUCUGCAGACUGGACUCGUUGGGAGUGGAUUUUCUGAUGAUAAAUGUAAAAGAAAGCCCUCUCCCCGGAAGGAGAGAAUAACCUAAUUGCUCAUUCUACUUAAAAUUGAAGAGGUUUGGGAAUUCCCUGGCAGUCCAGUGGUUAGGAUUCCUUGCUUCCACUGCAGGGGGUAUGGGUUUGAUCCCUGGUUGCUGGUUGGGGAACUAAGAUCCCGCGUGCCAUGUGGCAAGGCCAAAAUCAAUAAAUAAAUAAACGGAAGAGGCUUGCUGAUGAUGUGUAGAAGAGCAACAACAGAAUUCCAUGCAUACCUUUAUAACAUUCUCAGCAGAACGUGUGUACCCAAUGUAUAUAGCUAGAUCCACAAAUAAGGCAACAAACCAUAUGGACCCACUGACGCUUAUGAUUCUCAUUAAGCUUUCAAAACAAGUUUGUGAACAGAAACGGACAGAGAAUGAUGUAUCAAGCACCCCACGUACCCACAGCAAAACAAUGAAAACUUAACCAUUUGCAAUAGGGCUUUUUUUCCUUUUAAAGAAAUGAAACAUCACAAAUAUGCUUGAGACUCUCUGGGACCUCUCUCUAUUCCUAUUUUUCUCCUUCCCCAAAUGGAUUUUGUUUUUUAUCAUUCCUAAGUCUGUUUUAAUAUUUUUUACUACCUAUGCAAUAUCAUAAACUACAGUAUUGUUUUGCAUGUUUUAAAACUUUCCGUAAGUGGAUCAUUCCGUGUGCAUCAUUUUACAACAUUUUUUUUUUUUACUCAAUAUCAUAUUUUAGAAAUGUAUCCAUGUUUAUGUGUCUAAUUUAACUCACUCAUUUUAGGUGCUAUAAAACAUUCCAUUGUAUGAAUAAACCACAAUUGGUUUUUCCAUUUUCCAGCUGAUAAACACUUAGGUUAUUUCUAAUGUUUACAUAUAGCAAACAAGACCUCUGCAAAUAUUCCUGGACAUGGUUCUUUGCGUAUAUAUGCCUAGAAGUGGAAAUGCUGCUUAUAUACAAUGUGUGGCUUCAACCUUAUUAUAAUCUCACCAGCAUGUUUGAAAUUUGUCUUUCCCCCCCAUUCUUACCCACAGUUGAUAUUAACAGAUUGAAUUUUAUUUUACUACUAUUAUUUUUACCAAUUUGAUGUCUGUGAAUAGUAUUUCAUUCUGGUUUUAAUUUGCAUUUUCCUAAUUACUACUGAUGAGAAGGAGUUAUUUAUAUAUUUUUGAUGCUAAACCUUUGUGGGUUUUUAGGCAUCAAAAAUAUUUGGUUAAGUUCUUUGCACCUUGUUUUCGGUGCGCCCUGAAUAAAGAGAAGUUCUGAAUUUUAAUGUA